rnacentral:rRNA from 1 species
UGAGGAAUAUUGGUCAAUGGGCGCGAGCCUGAACCAGCCAAGUCGCGUGAGGGAUGACGGCCCUACGGGUUGUAAACCUCUUUUGUCGGGGAGCAAAUUCCGCCACGUGUGGCGGAGUCGAGAGUACCCGAAGAAAAAGCAUCGGCUAACUCCGUGCCAGCAGCCGCGGUAAUACGGAGGAUGCGAGCGUUAUCCGGAUUUAUUGGGUUUAAAGGGUGCGUAGGCGGACUGUCAAGUCAGCGGUAAAAUACGGGGGCUCAACCUCCGCCCGCCGUUGAAACUGACGGUCUUGAGUGGGCGAGAAGUAUGCGGAAUGCGUGGUGUAGCGGUGAAAUGCAUAGAUAUCACGCAGAACUCCGAUUGCGAAGGCAGCAUACCGGCGCCCAACUGACGCUGAAGCACGAAAGCGUGGGUAUCGAACA